rnacentral:tRNA from 1 species
GGGGAUACAGCUCAGUGAUAGAGUGCCUGAUUAGCAUGCACGAGAUCCUGGGUUCAAUCCCCAGUACCUCCA